UCUUACAGAUGAGCAAAGAAAGUGGUUUCUUGAAGUGCAAUCUACUCCUGGUGAAGAUGCUGUGAC
rnacentral:pre_miRNA from 1 species